AAAGAAAAACGAAGAAAGAAAAAAGAAAAAAGCCUCUCUCUCUCGAUCUCGAUUCCUUUCUUCUUCGUCGAAAUCGACCAAUUUCAUCUUCAUCAAUUUCACACUCUAAAUCUCGAUUAAUUUUUACUCAAUUUCGAUUCUAGAGUACAGAGCUUGGAUUUGGUUGAUUGAAUACUGAAUCAUCUUUACCCUUUAACCCUAAAUUCGAAAUUGGGAGAACUGAUUGAACCACCACCACCAUUACAAACUUCGUCCUCUGCUUUCUACAUCGAAAUUGGGUGGAUUGAUUGAACCACCAUCACCAACUUCAUUAACGAUGCUAAACAGAACGACCUGACAUCGAGGAAUGCCUUUGGACUUGAGUGGCCUGAACCAUUGGCUAUAUUUGCACUCUCAUGCGGAAGUUGGUCUUCACCCGCAAUAAGCACUCUCUAUCGUUGAUAAAUGCAACAAAAACUGUACAACAACCUCGGACCUUCCAGGUUAGAUAUGUAUCAGAAAAAGGUAGUCGAGUAUUUUGAAUGUUCUGCAGCGGUUCUAUUAUUUUGUUACAAACUUGGUCCACAAAAUGUUUUCAUAAUAUUGAUACUUGGCGCAGGUCCUGCCACUUUCUCUGAGAUGAAAACCAUUGUUCAAGUAGGCUAAUGCUUCACUAUUUGUGUUGGUUAGUGUUAGUAAUAUUUCUUUGAUGGUAGACUUUCUAUUUGCUAAAUCCAUUUAGAUUAAUCUAUCAAAAUGAAGUGGUUGAUUGGUCCAAACUAUCUCUAUGUCGGCUCUGAAUCAUCUUUAUGUCUACAUCAAAAUAAAGGGGUAACUUCAUAAAACAUACAUGUUCGUCAUUUACGUUAGAGGUUACACGUCUCUCCCUGUAUAGAAAAUGGUUGAGAAAUUUGUAAUCAAUACAAAUAAUUUUUUUUUUGUUCUUUGUCGAUGCAAUUUGUUGUCUAAUGUGAACGAAA